UGGGGUAAAUCGGGCCUGCCUAUACAUGCAAGUCGAGCGAACAGAUAAGGAGCUUGCUCCUUUGACGUUAGCGGCGGACGGGUGAGUAACACGUGGGUAACCUACCUAUAAGACUGGAAUAACUCCGGGAAACCGGGGCUAAUGCCGGAUAACAUUUAGAACCGCAUGGUUCUAAAGUGAAAGAUGGUUUUGCUAUCACUUAUAGAUGGACCCGCGCCGUAUUAGCUAGUUGGUAAGGUAAUGGCUUACCAAGGCAACGAUACGUAGCCGACCUGAGAGGGUGAUCGGCCACACUGGAACUGAGACACGGUCCAGACUCCUACGGGAGGCAGCAGUAGGGAAUCUUCCGCAAUGGGCGAAAGCCUGACGGAGCAACGCCGCGUGAGUGAUGAAGGGUUUCGGCUCGUAAAACUCUGUUAUUAGGGAAGAACAAACGUGUAAGUAACUGUGCACGUCUUGACGGUACCUAAUCAGAAAGCCACGGCUAACUACGUGCCAGCAGCCGCGGUAAUACGUAGGUGGCAAGCGUUAUCCGGAAUUAUUGGGCGUAAAGCGCGCGUAGGCGGUUUCUUAAGUCUGAUGUGAAAGCCCACGGCUCAACCGUGGAGGGUCAUUGGAAACUGGGAGACUUGAGUGCAGAAGAGGAAAGUGGAAUUCCAUGUGUAGCGGUGAAAUGCGCAGAGAUAUGGAGGAACACCAGUGGCGAAAGGCGACUUUUCUGGUCUGUAACUGACGCUGAUGUGCGAAAAGCGUGGGGAUCAACAGG
rnacentral:rRNA from 1 species